GACAGAGGUGCCGAGCGUUAGGCGGAAUCACUGAGCUUAAAGCGUGUGUAGGCGGCCCGUUAAGUGCCUCGUGAAAUCCCCCGGCUCAACCGGGGAACUGCCGGGCAUACUGGCGGGCUUGGGUCGCUCAGGGGCAGACGGAACAGGCGGUGGAGCGGUGAAAUGCGUAGAUAUCGCCUGGAACGCCGAAGGUGAAAAACAGUCUGCUGGGGGGCGUACCGACG
rnacentral:rRNA from 1 species